ACGGGAGGCAGCAGUGGAGAAUCUUGCACAAUGGGGGCAACCCUGAUGCAGCAACGCCGCGUGAAGGAUUGAAGGCCUUUGGGUCGUAAACUUCUGUCCUUGGGGAAGAUAAUGACGGUACCCUUGGAGGAAGCCCCGGCUAACUACGUGCCAGCAGCCGCGGUAAUACGUAGGGGGCAAGCGUUAUCCGGAAUUAUUGGGCGUAAAGCGUAUGUAGGUGGUUUCCUAAGCGCUUGGUUUAAGGCAGCGGCUUAACUGCUGUUCGCCUUGCGAACUGGGAGACUUGAGUACAGGAGAGGAAGGCGGAAUUCCUAGUGUAGCGGUGAAAUGCGUAGAUAUUAGGAGGAACACCAGUGGCGAAGGCGGCCUUCUGGACUGAAACUGACACUGAGAUACGAAAGCGUGGGGAGCAAACAGGAUUAGAUACCCUGGUA
rnacentral:rRNA from 1 species